CUCGAGUUUGGUUCUUUGAUUUGAUCCUCUAAUUAUGCGAUUUUCAUUAAUCUUAUAGAAAAUGUUCAAUACAAAUAUACUAAAUCCAUGUUUUAAAACAAAUGGUAUAUACAGAGAUUCUUAUCAUUUACACUUAUUUCAGUUAGGUAUAACAUCUUGUGAUCUCGGAAGGAAAAUUACUGAUUUAAUGUUUUUAUUUGACUUGCUGAAUGGAAAUGUAGAUUGUCCAGUGUUACUUUCAAUGGUUGGCUUUUACACUGGUCAUAUCUGCUUCAGGAUUAAUAAAAUGUUUUAUGCUCCAUUUCUUUUUCCAAUAGUUAUAGC